UUCAGCUAUCAGCCCCCCUCUCUCUUCAAGAGUCAUUAGACUCCAGUGGAAAUAUACAAGUCAGGAUGACUGGUGGUGAUCCAGGAUUCAGUGGGAGACCUUGACCUUUUUAAGAUGUAGAGGAGAAAAAAGUGAAGAGAAAAAAGAAAAAGAGGAAGAGAAAGAAGAGUAGGAAGAGAAAGAAAAGGAGGAGGAGAAAAGAAGAAGGAGGAGGAGGAGGAAAAGGAGAAGGAGGAAGAGAAAGAGGAGAAGAAAGAAGAGGAGGAGAAAGAGAACAAGAUAAAGAACAAUAAGAAGAACAAGAACAAGAAGGAGGAGGGAAAGGAGGGAAAACAAACAGAAAACAAAAUUACUAACAGGUGCAAUCAAUGGAAGUCAAUUAUAUAUUCCUGAUUAAGGCU